rnacentral:rRNA from 1 species
AAAGGCGUAAUGAAAGUGAAGGUUCGCCAUGCGCGAACCGAGGGAGGAUGGACGGUCGAUCGUGGCCGUCCCGCACUCCCUGGGCGUCUCGUUCUCAUCGCGAGAAGAGGCGCACCAAGAGCGUACACGCUGGGACCCGAAAGAUGGUGAACUAUGCCUGGUCAGGACGAAGUCAGGGGAAACCCUGAUGGAGGUCCGUAGCGAUUCUGACGUGCAAAUCGAUCGUCGGAACUGGGUAUAGGGGCGAAAGACUAAUCGAACCAUCUAGUAGCUGGUUCCCUCCGAAGUUUCCCUCAGGAUAGCUGGCGCUCGCUUCUCGCGAGUCUCAUUCGGUAAAGCGAAUGAUUAGAGGCAUUGGGGUCGAAACGGCCUCAACCUAUUCUCAAACUUUAAAUGGGUGAGAUCUCCGGCUUGCUUGAACUGUGAAGCCGCGAGAUAUCGGAUCAGAGUGCCAAGUGGGCCACUUUUGGUAAGCAGAACUGGCGCUGUGGGAUGAACCAAACGCCGAGUUAAAGCGCCUAAAUCGACGCUUAUGGGA